GCCGCCCAGGGGGUUGACCGUGCCCAGGCCGGUGACGACGGCCUGGUGGGCAGGCGGCAUCGGCUCAGGACCGCUGGGCGGCA
rnacentral:tRNA from 1 species